rnacentral:snoRNA from 1 species
AGAAACUACUCCCCCUGUUUCAUAAUGUAAGACGGUUUUUGACACUGCAUUAUGCAUUCCGACGCUUUUGGCCAGGGCGUGAUUAACGGCCUUGAUUCAUCUGAUGGGUGCAUCGAAUGGCCGUAGAGGAUCGUUCCUGCCUGGGUUCACAUUGGUGCAAGGUGGCUCGGAGGCUGUCUGACAUUAA